UACGGGGGGGGUAAGCGUUGUUCGGAAUUACUGGGCGUAAAGGGCGCGUAGGCGGCCUGUGCAAGUCAGUUGUGAAAUCUCCGAGCUUAACUCGGAACGGUCAACUGAUACUGCUCGGCUAGAGUGCGGAAGGGGCAACUGGAAUUCUUGGUGUAGCGGUGAAAUGCGUAGAGAUCAUGAGGAAGACCAGUGGCGAAGGCGGGUCUCUGGACAGUUCCUGACACUGAGGCACGAAGGCCAGGGGAGCAAACGGG
rnacentral:rRNA from 1 species